AAUGACAAACUCAUCCCAAAUCCUAGCAGAGGGGAGCUGCUUAUCUCAACAGUCAAAGAGUCAGAUGAAGGUUUUUAUAAAUGUAGUGGAAGUAAAUCACCUCAAGGUUUGGAGAAUGUGACCUCAGCAGCGAGCUGGUUGUCAGUGAAAUAUCCUGAAGAAACAGCUUCAAGCUCUGUGUUUCCCGUGCUGUUGGUUGUUGGUCUGAUUUCUGGAGUUUUACUUAUUCUCGUGCUGCUGUUUCUGCGUAGCUACAGAAAGUCAAAAGCCGCAAGGUCUCAGAGGACCAAUCAGAGCCCAGCUACAGACCACAUGAUCAACCAGGGUGAUACUCAAGACGGACAUUACGCUCCUCUUCAACCUGGUGAUUCUUGUCUCUAUGAAAUGAUCGAAGGCUCUGAAGAACCUAAACAUGGAACGGAUGAUGAACCAGACGAGAACAUUUACGCAAAUGUGACGAUGGAAACAGCUGCAGGUACAGUCAAGUACAACAAACCAUGUAGUACAAUCUGCGUGUACUUCUGUAUUACUACCAGCAGUCAGCAAAGGUCAAACACAAAACGUACACCUGUUACUCUUAAAUAACCUUUAAUCUCUUUUCCUUCUUUUUUCAGAUGGAUAAAAACAUCUGCAUGGACAGAACCAGGGGAACGGAUGAUGACAUGAAAAACCACAUCUUUGUCUUUUUGAGUAAUUAUUGUGUGAACUUCUUUCCUUUAUAUGAGAGUAUUUUCUAGUUAACCCAUCAGCAGAUCAUUUAAAGGAAAUGCAUCAUAUGUCUUUAAAAGUUUUACUGAAAAAAGCAGAUUAUUAUACUUACUAAAAUGUUGGUGUUGAGUGUUUAAUGUACAUAUCGUGUAAAUGUAUAAUUUUUUUCUCUUCAGUCACUUUGUUUUUAAAGCUUUUUUGAAUGAAGUCUUGUUUGAAAAGCAGAAAAAAGCAGUAUGACGUCUUUGAGCUUCAGUACGUUGGUGAUAUUAUUCAAUAUGAAGUUGUCUUUUAUUUCUGAUUAAUAAAAGCUUUACACAUUUAGUUAAUGAAAAAACAAACAAAUAUGUAAUAAUUCAAAUUAUUGUAUUAGCAAUAUUCUUAUUAAAGUAUACAUACCUCAUGUUGCCAUUCUGUACGCUGAGUUUUAGUAGCCUAUAGAUUAAUUUAACAUACAUACCUGUGUUAUGUCCCCCGACUUGACUCCGCCCCCUCCUGAGAAGAGGGCGGGGGUAAUAAUCUCUCAGGUGACUCACCUGGAGCUGAGAGACAUCAGGCGAUUAGUGGGCUAGAUAAAGGCUCCCUGACCAGGUGCUCUGGGGUUCUCUUCUCUUCCUGAGAACAAGCGGACCUUCUGUAAUUGUAUUUACUGAGGUUCAAACCUUACGCACGCCUUGUUUAUCUCCGUUGUUCCGCCUUUGCCAAGGCUACAUUUGUGUGUUACGCCUGUGCAUCACUUGGCACGAUAGGCAGGCCGUAACACCAUGGUUAUAAUUAUUCAUAAGUAUGCAGUGUCAUAAAUACAUCUAUGUACAGGGUGAGGAUUUCAACACGCAGCAUUUCUUGAUGAAUAUUUGUAAAGGGAAAUCUUGUACCUGUUUUAGAAAAUUAUUCAUGCGUAUGCAGUGUCAUAACUACAUAUCUGACGUUCAUAACAAACCAAACUGUUUAAAAAUCGGUUUAAUAUUGAGCAAGUUAUGGUUAUUUGAAUAGUACGGACGUUCUAGACUCCGCUGUAACACAUCUAGCUAGCUAUCGCUAGCUAUAUAUAUAUAUAUUUAUAUAUAUAUAUAUAUAUAUAUAUAAAUAAUAUCUCUAUGGACACGCUGUCCUCACUUCUAAAACUAACCGUAACUCUUGACUAGCGCCGUUGUAGUUUUACCUCUUUUAACUGCAUUUGAGGUAAGGAAUUACUGACAGAAUGGCAGAAUGAACAACCAAAAAAAGAGAAAACGCCUCCCUUCUUAAGAGGGAUUUCUGUCAUGUCAAGCUCGAACAGGACACAUACGCAGACUGCAUUGGUGGGGAGAACAAAGAACAGUUUAUUUACGUAGAUCCAAAAAUAACGAAAAAACACCAAUAGUCCGAAACAUUCUGGUUUCUGGCGCUGGGGUUUGGGUUUGGUGGGGAGGAAUCCAGCAGGGUUAAAUACCCCCCUGGUCGGGAACUGAAGACAGGUGUGUAAUUGGCAGCAGCUGAGCGUCCUCAAGGUCCACGGCCCGUUGUCAUGACUACUGGAAAAACAUCAACAGACGGCCGCGCACACCAACAACUUGAUCACGGCGUGGCUGUCGUAAACAUCUCAGCUUUGCUACUAUCACAAGAUGAAAUCACAUCAUAUGUCUUAAUCUCUGCACCUCCUGUCGCUACAUAGAAAAAAUAAAUUGGGGUUGAAAUGAGGAAGACUUUACUUAAGUGUCCCCCAGCAUAUAUUUCACUCCCAUGUGUUUACAUGCUGGAAUAACAAUGUGAAACCGAUUAGACAAUAGAAUGUGACAUGGUGAUUGGUUAUGAAACAGCAUACAAAUGUGUCUUCUCUUCCCCACUUUGUCAAAUCACAGGCGCUCUAAUGAUACAAAACAAUAACUAGGACAAGGGGGCCCUCUACAGGUGUUGUCUCUCUCUGGUGGGAGUUUGAAGGAAGGAAAGUAACAAAUAGUCCCGCAUGUCUCCACUAGAGGACAGUGUGUGUCCACGCAGCAGCAGCGAGGUGUUUACCUGUAAGAGUUGUUUCAUUCUGACACAGUGUACUGGUAAAAUAUGUUAUAACAUUGUUUUGUGCUAAAGCCGUGUCUCAAGUGUCCUGUAUUUGACCCUGAUGUGCAAAGAGCAGUAUGAUACAAAAUGUUGGUUUGCAGCUGUGCUCUGAGAAGGGAGGACGGUUGACUCGAUCUCAUAGAAGCUUCAAAGCAAAGGACGCCUCUUCAUGGCCUUGGUUGAUAUCUUAUUCUGCACGAAAGUUCUGGAUCCAAGUUUUACUUUUAUGUCAAGUAACAAUGAUUUGCAGCGGCCAUUGAGGAGGAUCUUGUGUGUGUGUGUGCUACCCUCAGCUUCACCUGGGUU
ensembl:lncRNA